rnacentral:tRNA from 1 species
GUCCUGGUGGUGCAAUGGUUAAGCACUUGGCUGCUAACCAAAAAGUUGGUGGUUUGAAUCUACCCAGUGGCU